UACGAAGGGUGCAAGCGUUACUCGGAAUCACUGGGCGUAAAGCGUGCGUAGGCGGUUCGUUAAGUCUGUUGUGAAAUCCUCCGGCUCAACCGGAGAACUGCCAUGGAUACUGGGUGUCUCGAGGGUGGUAGGGGUAUGCGGAACUAUCGGUGGAGCGGUGAAAUGCGUUGAUAUCGAUAGGAACUCCGGUGGCGAAGGCGGCAUACUGGACCACUUCUGACGCUGAGGCGCGAAAGCCAGGGGAGCAAACGGG
rnacentral:rRNA from 1 species